CCUACGGGAGGCUGCAGUGGGGAAUAUUGCACAAUGGGGGAAACCCUGAUGCAGCGACGCCGCGUGAGUGAAGAAGUAUUUCGGUAUGUAAAGCUCUAUCAGCAGGAACGAGACAAGACGGUACCUGACUAAGAAGCCCCGGCUAACUACGUGCCAGCAGCCGCGGUAAUACGUAGGGGGCAAGCGUUAUCCGGAAUCACUGGGUGUAAAGGGAGCGUAGACGGCUGAGCAAGCCUGAAGUGAAAGGCGGGGGCCCAACCCCCGGACUGCUUUGGGAACUGUACGGCUGGAGUGCAGGAGAGGUAAGUGGAAUUCCUAGUGUAGCGGUGAAAUGCGUAGAUAUCUGGAGGAACAUCAGUGGCGAAGGCGACUAUCUGGCACAUAACUGACGCUGAGGAGCGAAAGCGUGGGUAGCAAACAGGAUUAGAUACCCUUGUAGUC
rnacentral:rRNA from 1 species